UAUUAAAAUAUUAUUGGGUAGAUUAUAGAACUCUUGGAAAAGCCGCAGAACCAGGCUUGAGGCUAAGCAUAUAGGGGAAAUGUCCAAAAACCACACCACAAAACUAGCCUGGUGAGGAAGUUCUACUGCCACAGCGACUGCUCCACCAUUGCUACAUCAUGCCAGGAACACAUCUUUGCCUCCUCAGCCAGCCGCAAAAGGGAGCCACCACCCCUGCCAGCAAAAUGUCUUCUGCAAGGAGACCCUCUUCCAAUUGUUCCUUUCCAGAGCAUAGCUCUGACUGGUAGAGCCUCCGUCACAGUGCGCACCCUGACUGCAAAACAGACUGUGAGAUUUACUUUCUGGGUUCUACCUUGGGGAGAAGGAAUACAAGUCUGUAAAAUAGUCCAUACAUAGUGACAGUGUGCAAAGAGUACUGGAAAGCAAGGGAAAGGAUUACAUAUAUUUGCUACAGGCCCAAAUUAUCACUGGUUUUAGAUCCAGGCAAGUUGAGACAACACCUGCACUGUCAGCCACAUAUUUGAAGCAUCUGUCAGGAAAUCCAGUUUUGCUAGCUGAAAAUGACCUGGAUGGAUGCUGGGCUUUAAAAAAAAGAAAGAAACAAAAGAAAAGAAAGAAGAAACACUUAAUACCUCAGGCAGCAGGCUGUACCCUAGAAAAUGAAGACUUGGCCAUGCAAGCAAGGGGAGGUGAGACCUGAUACUGCCAGAGAAGGAAUAGGGCACUGUCAACUCGCUAACUGGGUCCUAGUAUUGGCUAUGUAACCCUAGACAAGUUACUUUACAUUUCUAGACCUCAGUUCAGCAGUUGGAACACGUGGACUUUGGAUUUUCUUCUUCCUGGAACUUCCUUUAUGCACUCAUGUUUGUUACUCACCCAUGUAUUUAUCCAUUGUCCAUGUCUGCUUGUCAGUUUUAGUUACCUCCUACCCCCACCUGUCCAAGGUGCUCUUGUCCUCAGAAGAUCCCACUGGCAUGAAUAAGACAGACUUGGAAACUUUUAUCCUAGAUAAAACUGGUCUGGAACACAUAAAAAGUAUUUCCCCAACAAUUUUGAUUCACUUCAAUUCCUGAAAUCUAACUUCUGACUUUCAAAGAAAAUUCCACUUUGGCAGCUGUACAGGUACCAACAACAGUUUACCCUUACCUGGAAGAAGAGCCUUGGAGGAGAAAACACACCAUGUCGGUAUGGGUGUGACAAAGUCUACUUUUUCUAGCACUCCUGGGGCUCACAGAGAAGGCAUUUAUCAAGGGGCGAGAUGAAAGCAGACUCAGAUUUCAUAUAGCCAGUUCUUGCAGUCCAUGUCAGUAAAAGUGAAAAAGCCCAGCAAUAAUGCAUUGUCUCAUUAAGGCUAAUGUGAGUAAGAUAAUUCAAGUAUGUAGAUUUCUGGUAGUGUAAUUUUAUCU
rnacentral:lncRNA from 1 species